rnacentral:lncRNA from 1 species
AGCACAGAGACACAGAUGACAAGGGAGUCAGCGCACCCAAGGCCCAUCGCACGGCCAAAGGAAAACUUAUACAUAUGCAACACAGGCCCACUCAGGCUUUUCCACUAGCCAUGCGGAGACACCGUGGCCAGGCUGGGGGAAUCUAUAUUUCACCUUACGUUGCACACAGCUGGGCUCAGACUGGCACCAGUGUGCAUAUGCAAACAAGGCAGUAGCUGUAUUCAUCAGGGCUCCGAGAAGCCAGGAGCCUUCUCUUCUAGAGCAGCAAACAAAGAAAGGUGGGUGGGGCAUGCCAGAGGGGGCGUGGCUGGUAGGCAAGGAGUAGACGGGAAAGAGGCCAUUGGAACAGAGAACAAAUUAUGUCAAAUUAGUGUAGGGGUGUGGGGAACAUUCUCAAAGAGAAGACUUAGAAUCCAAAGGGUUUUGGAGCCAGACGUUCCUCCUAGAACCACGGUCUAAUGGCCUCCUUUUACUGAUGAAAAAACUGAGGGCGAGAGAGGAGAAAUAAUUUGCUGAGAGACAAACACCUAAUCGCAGUUUCUUGUCCAUAGGGGAAUACCGCUGUGUUCAAAUUUAAUUUUUUCUUAUAGAGGUAAAGAAAGAUCAAGGAGAUCCCUAGAUGGUCAGUCCUAUCAAGACCAUGUGAGCACCGUGUGGAGAAAGAAAGAGAAGCCAUAAGCCAUUGUCCUUGCCUUCGACAUGCAAUAAGAAUGUGUUCAAGGAUGUUGAGAUUCACUCAACACAAGGAGAAAGUCGUGAAGGGAACGUGCUACCUGCCAGGUACAUUGGGAGGUCCUCAGCAAAGAACCUGGUCAAGUCCUUCAUUCACUGAGCUUCUGCAGACACUGACAAUCAGCUAUCACACAGCAUGCCCUGUGUCUCUAGACAUGCAUCAGGACACAGCCUCAGCUUUGCAAGAGCUGGUCCCACCUAGGGCACCACCGCAAUAUGGUAAGUGCUUUAGCGACAGAGUGCUUUGGGAGUGGAGAUCUAACCCAGCCUGAGAGAUCAGAAGGCUUCCCAGAGAAGAUGAUAUCCAAGGUAUAUCCUGUGGUGAGUCAAAACCAGCCGAGUACAACAGGGGUGAGCAGUGAGGUGCUGGAGCAAGAACUUCCAUGCACACGGAAGAGCGUGCAGCGGCCAGCAGGAGAGGGGGCAGGCUUCAGCUAACUCACUGGCACACCCAGAACUCAUGCCCAACACUUGGGGCUCAGGUGUUGCUGAAUGAAUAAACAAGCUUGCUGUACACGGUUCACAUCCUCCCUUCCUACCUGCUGCUCUGGGUUCCAGGGAAGACAUGCCCGCUCUCUCUGGUGCCUAACCCAGAGCAUAGCCAGGGAGAAAAGGGCAGCAUGUAGAGCAGCGCGCCCCACUGGACAUGUCAGGCCAGGCUGUCAUAGAAAAGCACUCCAACCCUAGGGGACUGCCCACGCCCCCAGGUGACCAGGCUCCCAGAUUCUCAGUGAGAGGGACAGGCUGGGACCCUAAGUGCUCACAGGUGAACUCAAGUGGCUUGAAUUCCAAAACCAAGGUGUGCUAGGCAAGGUUUUCCAGGCGUGGGGAAGAAGCACCUCCCCUUCCAUGAGGUGGUUCUUGACAAUGCAGGGGCCAGGUGUGUGAGCCACGUUCCCAUUACAUCCUUCUAGCAGUUUCCAAAGCUCUGUCCUCACUCCUCCUUGUCCCACACAGACCCACCCCCUCGAAACUCCUCUCCUGACUGAGAUGUUCCUUGUUCAUCGUUGAACCGUCCCCUUCAUCCUUCUUGAAGGCUGUGAUUAGAACCACAAGACAGACAGUGUCAGAACAGGCACUUCCGCAGAUGCCUGUUGGCCUGUUUUCUCCAGUCUUCCACUCGGGCUACAAGUUGCCAAACACCUUGGGAUAGGGCCGUUUGGUCAAACUAUAGCAUCUACCAAUGGUCAGUACAAAUUUUUGUCUUUGCCUAUAAAUUUGGGGGAAACUGAAAGGAAUCCUGGGCUUGAUUUCUCUCUGGUGGGUGGUGGAGACUUGAGGGCAUGCCAGGAACAGAGAAUGAGGAGCAGCGUCCGGGCCGGAAGUUGGCUGUGGGCUAGUGGCUGGAAGGUGGUGGGGGGGACAAAUGGGGCAAGGGUUGACUGCAUUUAUCAAUGAAGGUAUGAAAGGCUGUUCUAGACUUAAUUAAAUAACGACUCAUAAAUAUUCAGCUCUGCAAAGCUGAGCCUCCACAAUGAUGGAUGUCAGGGACUAAAAGGCUUUCAAGGGGAGGACUCUGCAGAGACGUGGGCCCCCACACGUGUCAGAAUGGAAAGGGCACACUGCCCACAGCUUCCGCUAGCUUGUGACAUAUUGUUCUCUCGUACCAGCCUUGCAAGCCAAAUGCACUUUCAAGCUAGCGGUCUAGCUCCCUAAGGAAGAGAAUUCUCUCAGGACCUUGGAAUUUGUAGUGCAGUGAUCCCCUUUAUCCACGCUUCCGCAUUCCGCGGUUUCAGUUACCUGUGGCUAACCAUAGUCUGAAAAUAUUAAAUGGAAAACGACAGAAAUAAACAAUCUGUAAGUUGUAAAUUGUGCAGCCGUCUGAGUAGUGUGAUGUAAUCUGGCACUGUCCACUCCAUCCUUUUUGGGAGGUAAACAUUUCCUUUAUCCAGCAUGAAGCUGGAUCUGGAAGAGAGGUGCAGGAACAAGUGUGCGAUGGGACAAGUCUCCAAUAUAGGCUAUUCGACCAGGUACGAGCACUAGUGACCGAAGCCCAGGGCCUCUGCCUGUGUGCUCCUUAUUCUCCUUUACUUAGCUUCUACCACAGCUAAGAACUUGGACCAUGCCUCGAUCAUGUUGAGCUGCUUUGAGCCUCAAGGGCUUUCUCAAUAGGGCAGUAGCAUCUAACCUACC